rnacentral:rRNA from 1 species
AGUGAACGCUGGCGGUAGGCUUAACACAUGCAAGUCGAACGGCAGCACAGUAAGAGCUUGCUCUUACGGGGGGCGAGUGGCGGACGGGUGAGGAAAAUAUCGGAAUCUACUUUUUCGUGGGGGAUCACGUAGGGAAACUUACGCUAAUACCGCAUCCGACCUACGGGUGAAAGCAGGGGAACUUCGGAGCUUGCGCGAUUGAACGCGCCGCUGAGGGAUUAGUUAGUUGGCGGGGUAAUGGCCCACCAAGUGGCCGAUCCGUAGCUGGUGUGGGAGGAGGGUCAGCGACACUGGAGCUGGGACACGGUCCAUACUCCUAAGGGAGGCAGCAGUGGCGAAUAGUAGACAAUGGGCGCGAGCCUGGUCCAGCCAUACCGCGUGGGUUGAGGAGGCCUUCCGGUUGUAAAGCCCUUCUGUUGGGAAAGAAAAGCAUCAGGUUAAUACCCCGCUGUUCUGACGGUACCCAAAGAAUAAGCACCGGCUAACUUCGUG